UUGCUCACAGAGUAUCUGGGGCUCUAAUUCGGCCACUUCCAAGUCAACAAAUGUUUGAACAUAUGCAGAAGAGACACCGUGUAUUUUUCGUUUAUGUAGGUGGAGAAUCACCUUUGAAAGUAAGACUUUUUUUUAAUCCACAAAAACAGAUGUAUUGUAAUUUAAUUUACUCUAUAAUCAAGACUUCACUAGAAACGCAGAACUUAUUACUCUGCACUUACUGGAAAUAUUUUCAUUCAUUCUAAGCAUUUCUUAUAAUAAAAACACUUCCUUCUAUACCUUCUGUCAUGUUUUCCUAUAUGAAACAGAAGUGUGUAAAAAGUGAGUAAAUGUUGCCUGCCUUAGCAUUUUUUUCUGUUAUUAACCUGGUUAUUUAAGUCUUGUGUUGCUUUUUCAAAUUCUGAGUCUUUGAGACUGCAGACUUUGUAUGUGUGUAUACACACAUAUCUUCCUAUAAUCAUCACCAUCAUUUUGUCUAAUUUAUAAUUAAAUGAAUACAUACAAAUUGAACUUGUGUUAUAUUUAAUGAACUUUAUUUGCAGAAAGAUAAAAGCUCUUAAUUACGUUGGCCUUUGCCUUGGAAACAAUUUUAUUUGCUUACAUUUCUUCUCUUCACCUAAGAGGAUGUAAGGUAGCACAUUAAGGUGAUGACUCUUACUACAUAAGGUAACUCUC
rnacentral:lncRNA from 1 species